rnacentral:tRNA from 1 species
GGGAAUGGCUGGGUCCAUGGUGGACUCCACGGACUUCAAAUCCGCUGGCGGGCCGGGUAGCCGGUCUGUGGUGGGUUCGAUUCCCACACAUUCCCGCCA